GAGGUGGAUAGUAACUGCUUAGCUUUACUCAGUUAUUCACUAUAUAUACACUUUAUAAGGAACAUACUUGUAUGUGGUAGUUUCACUGCGCCAUAUAUAAUUAUUAUUAUUAGUGGUAAUCUCUUGAGUAUUUCUGCCUUCUCUAAACAUCUCAUUAAACGAAGAACAAGGAUGGUUUAAACAAAAUAUCACUGACACUUAAAGUUUAUUAUGUUAAAGUGGCUUGUUUGUACACAAACUGUUCUAUUGUUAUUUUCGGUAUACGUAGUUGUAUGUGCAGGUCAAGUGAAUAUAUGGUUAAAACAAUAGAAAAUGAAUAACUUUACCUUAUCCUAGCAUAUAUACACCACCUUAUAUAAGUAUUCCUUCCACAGCUCCAAGUCAGGACUGUUCUGCCACUCAAAAAUAAUUGAUUCCAGUCAAAAGUUAAGUGUAAAAAUUACUGCCAGAUCUAUUAAUAAUCUGUGGCUUACCUGGAGCUGCCAAAAAUACACAGCCUUAAUUUGAUCAAUAACUUGGAUACCAUUAACUUUAUGUAUAAACUUGCAACAUUCAUCUUUGCUGUAUCAUUUACUGGGAAAAAAUUAUAUUGUGACUGUUUGCAUGGUCAGCUUUAUUUCAAUUCAAUUUUGAAUUGAAUUGAAUUUAUUGGAACUACUUGACAGCUUUGAAACACAUUCAGAUUUUAUUGUAGUAGCAAAGUCUCACACUAAAAAAGCUAGGAAAAAUAUGAGCUUUAAUUUGAGUACCUAAAAGUCCUCUUGAAAGAAAUGAAGCAUUUCAUUCAAUUGUGCUUUGUUUUACUUUUCAAGUUCAGCCAUUUUUAGGAAUGUCUAAUAAAUAAUCUACACAUGUUUUUUUCCAUGGGGUAUAAAUAUGGCAGAAAUAAAAGGCCCAUUUCUUUUAUCCAAAUGGCCAGUAGGCUGGAUGACAACCCCUGGUUAUCUUGUAAUCAAACAGUCAGGAUGUCUGGAGGGGUAAAAUUAAAAUCUUCAAAGCUCACUGCAAGAAAAAAAAAAAAAAAACAUAACAAAGACUGACAUGUUGGAGUCAGCCAUUUGGUUAAGUGACCCCACUCCACCCACUCAAAAAAACAUUUUCUGUCUUAUUAUCACAGAUUGUGGAGUUUGCUGAACCCAGCUAAGACUUUGAAUAGAACAAUGUGCUCUGGUCAGUUGUGGCAAAGUUUUUUGGCCUAAGCUCUAGGUAUCCUUGGCAAGAAACAAAGAGUAAAUAUGUAGAAAGGUAUACCAACAGUGGAGAAAAUGUGAUGUGGUUUUCUUCCAAAGACCCUUGGAACCUUGUUAGGAUUCAUGAUAUUAUAUUACUACUGCCAGGACCAUUUUAAAUAAAAUUCUGAGUGCCAAUAAACUGAAGAUAGUUCAUCAACUGGUCUUUUCAACUUCUGUUUUGUUCUACUGUUCUGUUGGCUGUGCAAAAAUAUGGACUACCAGCAGGGCUACCAAUGUUGGAACUUUCUAAAUUUAUCAGUGCAAGAUUAUGCUACGGCCAUUAAAGAUAUAUCACUAUCAAUAAAUGUGUUCGGCAUUGUAUAUUUCUGAGUUUUCUGCACUAUCUCAUAAUAAUUUUUAAAAAAUCAACUCAAUCCUCAUGAAAUAAUGAAACAUAAACAUAAACCAAGACGACCACAUGUUGGAUCAACAUCUGUCUCACACCAAAAAGGUUCCAGUCAGUCAUUUCCAAGCUCACUAAAAUCCUUCAAUUUUCACAGACUAUCAUUAUUAUUAGAGAAAUAAACAAUCCUCCUCCACUUCCAGUAAUAAAGCAAUAUCCAGCUCUGAGAAAAUGAGAAAUGACUGUUGACCUUUACUUCAUGUUUCUGUGAUAAGAGUGCUGCAAUAAAAAGACGUCACCACACAUUGCGCAGUCCAAUGUGUAUGGAAGGAACUCGUCAUUUAUAACAGGCAAAUGAAGCAACAAAAAAAUCAUUAGACUUAAAAUAGUAUCUUGAACUUGUCAUUAAAGAAUUUUAUUUCUGAACAUUCCAAGUAAUACAAAACCUUGCUAAUGAAUUUCAAAAUACAAAAAAGUAAUAUUUUAUAUCAUUUUACAAAAUAUGACACUGGUAGGAGCAUCUACCGUUAUUUCACCA